UUGUAGCCAAAAUGGCUCGAGAUGUAUUAGCCAUUCCUGUAUCUACAGUUGCUUCAGAAUCUGCAUUCAGUAUAGCAGGAAAAAUUCUUAAUGAUUAUCGAUGCUCAACUACUCCUGAAAAUGUGGAAUCAUUAAUCUGCACACAGAGUUGGAUUCGUGAUGCACACAACUUGGGUGAAAGUUCUCAUGAUGCAGAGCACCAUUCGGACGAGGAAAGUUAAUCCAAUGCAUGAUUAUCAUGAUGGACAUUUCAAGGUUGGUGACGGACUUUAAAGACAUUUAGUUUCAAUAUGCC